rnacentral:lncRNA from 1 species
CUGGGACCAACUCCAAAAUCUGCACAAGAAGUGCAGAGUGUAAUAUCAGUACAACUGACCCCAUGUACUGGUAAGUGCUGAGCCUAACCUCGACGAAGUAAUGACGAGGCUAAGGUGGGUCACUUACAUUACAUGUACGCAAUAUUAGUAACAACAACAAUAAUAGAAAUAAAUCAGGUAACUCAUUUAUAAUAAUUGAAGCCAACUCAACAUUUAUAACCAAUUAUCAUUUUCAUCAAUUCUGUUACAGCGUGCAACCCGCUCUCACAAUAUAUUCACAUUCAAUUCUGUUGCAGCGUGCAACCCGCUCUCACAAUAUAUUCACAUUCGGUUCUGUUGCGGCGUGCAACCCGCUCCUCCAAUAUAUUCAUUUUAAUUAGGUCUGUUGCGGCGUGCAACCCGAUCCACCAAUAUAUAUAUGUAUGUCGACUUUUAAAUAAGUCUGUUGCGUCGUGCAACUCGAUCCUCCAAUAUGGACUUUUAAUAAGUCUAUUACGGCGUGCAACCCGGUCCUCCAAAAAUGAUCUGUUAACCACCCGAAACCAACCCGAGCGCCUUGGGCUCCAAACCAAACAUGCACCUAAGUCCUAAAACAUCAUACGAACUUGCUUGCGCGAUCAAAUCGCCAAAAUAACACCAAGAAUUACGAAUCGGACACCAAUUCAAAGGAAAUUUUUAUGAAAACUUUAAAACUUAUAUUUUUACAUCCGGACGUCCGAAUCAUGUCAAAUCAAUUCCGAUUCUCACCAAAUUUGGCAGACAAGUCAUAAAUAUUAUAGUGGACCUAUACCAGGCUCCGGAACUAAAAUACGGACCUUAGGUCAAUAAAUCCAACAUCAAAAAUUUCUUAGAAAUCAUUAAGCUUUCAAACUUUUAAUGUUUCAUCAAAAUUUCAUAUCUCGGGCUAGGGACUUUGAAAUUCGAUUUCGGGCAUACACCCAAGUCUCAAAUCACGAUACGGACCUAUCGGAAUAGUCAAAAUACUGAUCUGGGUCUGUUUGCUCAAAAUAUUGCCCAAAGUCAACUUAGUUGAGUUUUAAGGCUCUAUUUCACAUAAAAAAUUUUGAAAAAUUGUACGGACUGCGCACACAAGUCGAGGAAUGAUAAAUGGUACUUUUUGAGGUCUUAGAACAUAGAAUUACUUAUUAAAUUUAAAGAUGAUAUUUUAGGUCAUCACAGAUGUGAGAAUCGAGUUUAAAUCAAACAGAUUGAAACAUGAAUGAGUGAAACAAGUGUAAGUGUUUCAGAUUUCUAGGCAUUUAGCUGUUUUUCACUAAUUUGCAUAGUUUUGAGUAUGCUUGUAGAGGGAUCAUUAUCAAACUUAUUUUUUUAUUUAUUUAAUAACUCCUCUUUGUUUUAUUUAUAUAACACUGUUUAUUCUAGUAGUGGAAUAAUUUCUCCUUUAACGAUGUUUUUAGUAAGUUUUAAAUAUUUUUUACUAUAAACUUGUAGAGGAACAAGGUUAUGAGCUUGCUGAAGCUUUUCCUCUAUAAAAAUGUAGUUGUUGCAAGAUCACUGAAAGAAUACAACAAGCUCAUAACCCUUUUCCUCUACGAACCUUCUGUGGUCAUUAUUUCCUUUUGUUCAUUGUUAUUUUGUUGUGUGUUUCUUCUGUUCGAUUGAAAGGAUUUUCACAUAAAGAACAUUAAUCUAACCUGACUUGUUGAAAUUUAUUUUAGUGUUCAUUCUAUCUUGACUUGUAAGUGAUGUUCAGUAAUAUAUUUUUUUGACAGUCUGGACUUCAAAAUUAUCAAAGUUCUAGAGAAACACCAGAUGAUGCAUUUAGCGUUGUAUUUGGAAAGGAGCAACCUGGUCGGAUUAGAUGCUAUGGUAGAUCGGUCACGAUAAGCUCUCUGAAAAAAGAUAAGGAAAUCAACAAGCCUAAACAAAAGCAUGCUAAUGAAAUGAUUUCUCUGAAGGAAGAAAUGAAGAAAAUGAUGACAGAAGAAAUGCGAAACGUUUUUAUUCAGUUGGUAUAAAAUAACCCUGGACUGGAUAUUCAUGAUAUACAAGGGAGUGCCAGAUCUAAUCUUCCUUCACCUGUUGAUGCAAGUAGUGCACGAGCUAUGAGAGGCCAAAAUCUACCACAUUCUUCUAGUUCAACUCAUGCUCCGAGUUUUGAAAAGGUAUUUAUAUUUCAUACUCUCGAAAAAUACCUCAGGUUAACUUACAAGACUAUGCUUUUCUAAAUUAUUUACCUUUUUUUAGAAGGUAAACUAUUUGCUUUUGAUGGUUGUGUUAAACAAUAACAUGGUUGUGUUAUAUAUAAUGUUUUGAACCUAUAAUCUGUAAAAAGAUUAAAUCUUUUACUCGCUUUUAGCUACUUGAUUUGCUUUUUUGUAUUUUCAAAUCAUGGAAUUAAUCAUGUACUUUAACUUGUUUUCUAUAUUUGUUUUUUUUCUCCCAUUUAUUGGUAUGUAGAGUCAGAUUGUUGGUAUAUAUAUGCUAAUAGUACAAAGAGGUGAAGAGGAGUAUAAAAAGUUGUAUGAAAUGGCUUGAUAUUUUAAAUUGAAUAUCGAAAAGCUACUUGAAUUUGAUGCAUGUACCUCUUCUUGUACAAAAAUUUGCUUAUCUGUAGUCGUUUUGGAGCAAAUUGUCAUAGAUUAAAACAUUAGGACUGCUUUCAUUGAGGAUCAGUCAAUUUUAUUAUCUUAUGGAUAAUUAGUGUUAUCAAAGGUGAAAAGCGCAGAUAAGCUCUAAGGUCUGUUAGAGAAAAUUUAUUAUUUAGCUGAAGAAGAAUUAAGGCUACAUGAAGAUGGUAUGUUGUGAAUCCUGUGAUAGGAUUCAUGCACAUAACAUUUCUUUGUGGUUGUCAAUAGCCUUUCCACAUUUUCAACAUCCGAUUCUCGAAUCAUUCUUGGAUUCCUCUAGUUGGGCUAGAAGCUUUGUGCGAGAUAUGGCUUCCACGUAGAAGGAUAAAAAGAAGUAUUUUUAGUAACUACAUUUGGCAGUGGUAAGAUGACUUUGCCUAAUAUGAUAGUGGAGAUUUUUUAUUGGAAACCUAACAUCAGUUGUUAUAAUAUUUUUCAAUACAGAGAACUUCUUGAUCGCACAUUUUUUGUGUGUCUGUGUGUUCUGAAGGUACUAUUAGAUCUACUUAAACUAGAGUCCAGAUUACUGUCAAAUUUUCUCAAUGCAUUUUAAUUAGUUUUGAUGAAUGGUUUGCAGUGGGAUAAACUGACAACUUUGACUAUUUUAUGUGUAUACUGUAAGCAGUUUGAUUCUUUUUUUCGUGUUAUAGAUACCUUAUUAGUUUGUUGAUUGGGUUUGAGACUCUGUUUAUGCAAGCUUACGAAGAUAUUCAAUGAUUCUUGUCUUUUUCAGAUCUACAUACUACUAUUAUGCAUAUGCUUUCGUAUUGACUUUGUGGGUUAUCUAGGCAAAGUUCUCUGCAUACUAUAUAUAGGUUUUUUUCCUAAUUUUUAAUUUUAUUUUGAAUGUGUAGGAAAAUGCGGGUGAUGCAACUGGAAGUGGUGGCUACAAAUCAAUUUGACCUAUUGAAGUGAACGGGGAAGACUUUUUUGAAGAAUUGUGAUAUUUAUUAUUAUUGAUACUUAUACGAAUAAAUUUUGUUUUGUAGCAUUUAUUGCUAGUGAACUUGAAGUAGUGCUUUAUUAGUAUGGGCAAUACUACACAAAUUAUAUUUCUUUGUUCAAGUCUAUUUCAAGUAUAUGCAUUUGACCUAUUUUAUUGUGUUACUUAUUAUCUUAUUUAAUGCUUGAGACCAUAAUGUAUAUGCUUGAAACAAAUGUGAAUAUAGAAUUUAUUGUAGGCAACUAAAAUUUCUUAACCACACAAUUGUGGCAAAUAUAAAUAUUUUAAAAAUAAUUUUAAAGCGUACACAAAAUUGCCACGUUUAGAAAAUGUGGCCAUAGGGACAGGCAAUUUAGCGCUAUGAUUGAUAAUUGUUGCUUUAGAAGCCACGCUUUAAAAAUGUGGUCUAUAAGGAACUAAAGACCACGCUUCAAACAUGUAGCUUUAUGUCAUAAAAAGCGUGGCUAUAAGAGAAAAUAUAAGUGUAGCUUUUUUACCGCAUUGACUACACUUUUGAAGCGUGGCUUCUAAGGCGACUCGUAAUAAGCGUGGCCAUAGGUCAAAGGUUACGGUUCUUUAGACCACCCCCGUAAAAGCGUAGGCUAAAGGCGUAAAGUGUUGCCUUUGAUCAAAUACUACACUUCUUGACAUCUUAGGCCAUACUUUUCAGGGGUGGCUGGAGGCCUUAAAUGUUGUAGUGCUCUCGUACAUGUGCCAUUUUGACAUGUUUUUGUAAAUAAAAAUAUCUUUUGCUCAAGUAUUGUUUGAGUCUUCUUAUCGUUAGAAUAUUUAUACAAGUCUUUAAUCUUUCAUUUUCUUUAAGAAUUUUGCGCAAACUUUUUUGCGUCUUAUUAUAUGAACUUUUGGGUGUAUUCUCCCCGAAAGCAUUUUUGGCUCUGGGCGUCAGCCCUUUUUCGUGAGGGUUUUGAUAAAUAUUUGCGCAAGUUUACUUUUUGCGUCUUUUCAUAUACGGCUUCGGGUGUAUCUUUCUCUAAAGGCAUUUUUUAUUCCAGGCAUAAAUUCUUCCGGAACCAACCGUUUAACGUGAGGAUUUUUAUAAGAGAGGGCCCUCUUAUAUUUAUGGCGCUCUUGAAGAGGACGUCUUCUGUUCAUUACGACACUAGGAUUUGAAGUACUUGUUUAACUUUGAAAUGACAAUAUUAAUUCAUCGUUCAGACAAGAAACAAGAUAAAAAAAAAAGGAUUUUAUUUCAUUCCUUCUAUUUUCAAAAAUUACAUAAGCAUUUGCUAUGCUGAAAAGAAAUUGUCAUUACUUGUGGCUAACUUGUACAACUUAUUUCUACGGGGCUGACCGCAGAAUCACCGGUCCCGAUGAUGUAAUUAUAUUUCUGGUUUUUCAUUUUCCGGUCGACGUGAAGAUCAUUGUUGUCGUAUCCUCAUAUCAUUCCCACCAGUGUUCGAAUGCGAAGAGUGCGAAUUGGAACACGGGAAGUCUUGUAUCUUAGAAGAUUCCACUAAUGCAUUGCUAGAUAAUCCUUAACUUGGUAACACAAUUUACUUCCCCUUAGGAACUUAUGCUAUCGAGCAAAGUACUAUCUAACAACCCUCUAGUGGUUUGUGCUUGUGAAUGAUCGGGUAACCUUUGCUCAAUAGCAAACUUAACUUCCUGGUGGGGAUAUGCUAUAAAGAAAAAGAUUAUCUAACCAUCCCCAAGUGGAUCUUUGCUUUUGUGCCUUGCUAUUAAAGGUCUUAUUGCUGCUGUAUUCGUAGUAUGCUUUCUGAUAGGAUAAUGUUCAUCAACAAUAAUAUCUUUUGAGGUGUGCCACAUUCCAAUUAUUGGGCAAGUUUUCUCUAUUUUGGUUUUUCAACUCGUAUGAACCUUUUCCGGUAAUAGCUGAAACCCGGUAGGGGCCUUCCCACAUUAGAUCUAGCUUCCCCGCGUUGAGCUCCCGGGUGUUGUGAGUUACUUUCCUUAGGAUCAAGUCUCCUACUUUGAAAUAGUGGAGGUUGGAUCUUAGAUUAUAAUACCGCUCUAUUCUCUGCUUUUGAGCUACCAUUCUUACAUGUGCCAAGUCCCUGCGUUCAUCGAGCAGUUACAAGUUGACUAGCAUUGCUUUGUUGUUUGAUUCCUCAUCUGUCUGGAAUUAUCUCAAGGUGGGUUCCCCUACUUCUAUCGGGAUUAACGUUUAUGCACUGUAUAUGAGGGAAAAAGUAGUUUCCCAUGUGCUCGACUUGGCCGUAGUUCGGUAUGCUCAUAGAACUCCGGGUAAUUCCUCAGCCAGUUUCCUUUGGCAGCUUCCAACAUUUUCUUGAGGUUUUAAAUAAUCACUUUGUUCGUCGACUCCUCUUGACCGUUUGCACUUGGAUGAUAGGGUGAGGAUGUGAUCCUCUUUAUUUUUAAAUCAUGGAGGAACUUUGUAAUUUUUAAGCCGAUAAACCGUGGCCCAUUGUCGCAUGCUAUUUCUUUUGGUAUUCCGAACCUGCAAAUUAUAUUUUUCAUAAGAAAUCCACCUCUUCGCUUUCUCCGAUUUUUUGAUAAGGGCUUGCUUCCACCCACUUAGAAAAAUAGUCAGUCAAAAUUAAAAGAAAUCUUACCUUUCAGGGAGACGGUGGUAGUGGUCCGACGAUGUCCAUCCCCCAUUUCAUCAACGGCCAAGGAGAUAUAACCAAAUGUAAGGGUUCUGUCGGUUGAUGCACUAGUGGCGCACAACGUUGACACUUAUCACAUUUUCGUACAAAGUCCUUGGCAUAUUAUUCCAUGCGGGGCCACUAAUAUCCUGCCCUUACUAACUUUAGCACUAAGGAAUCUGUGCCUGAGUGGUUGCCACAUAUCCCUUCAUGAACCUCUCUCAUGACAUAGUUAGCUUCGGACGCUCCUAAGCAUCUGGCCAGUGGGCCUUGAAAAGAUUUUUUAUACAAUUGGCCUCCCUUGGAGCUAUAUCACGCUGCUUUGGUGCGCAGUGCCUGGGAUAUUUUAGGGUCUUCAGGUAGUUUUCCAUGUUCGAGAUAAUCGAUAAUUUCAUUCCUCCAGUUCCAGACCAGAUUAUUUGAAUUCACCUCAUAGUAAGCAUCUGUAUCUAGGACUGAGUUCAUCAAUUGUACUAUCGUCCUGGAUUCCGAUCCCUUUAUUUUUGUUGAUAAUCCUAGGUUUGUCAAUGUGUUUGCUUCUGCGUUUUCUUCCCUUAGGAUAUGAGUAAUUGACCACUCUCGGAAUCGCACCAGCAGAGCUUGAACCUUUACCAAGUAUUGUUGCAUGCGCUCCUCUUUGGUCUCGAAGAUCCCGUAGACCUGAUUUACCACCAGCUGUGAGUCGCAUUUGAUUUCACUGACCUCGGAGUCAAGUCCCCAGGCCAACUCGAGCCCUGCAAUCAAAGCUUCAUAAUCUGAUUCAUUAUUAGUUAAAUGGACCGUCCUGAUGGCUUGCCUUAGGGUUUCCCCCGAAGGCGUGAUUAAGACUAUACCGAGAUCAGACCCUUUUACGUUGGAAGCUUCGUCCGUAAAUAAGGUCCAAACCCAUGAUGCCGAUUCCGACACCAUUACUACUUCUGUGGUUGCUAGAGGCAAUAAUCCUGGACUGAAAUUGGCCACGAAGUCAGCCAAGACUUGUGACUUCAUUGCAGUCCUCGGCUUAUACUCUAUGUCGAAUUCACUCAUUUCAACGGCCCAUUUGUCCAAUCUACCCGAGAGAUCGGGGUUUAUGGAGGAUAUCCGCAAAGGGAAAGUAGACACCACAGCUAUUGGGUAGCAUUGGAAGUAGGACCUCAACUUCCGAGCAGCGACUACGAGAGCUAAGGCCAGUUUUUCCAAAUGUGGGUAACGAGUUUUUACUCCUGUUAAAAUUUUACUAACAUAAUAAAUGGGUGAUUGCGUACUUUCGUCCUCUCGGACUAAAACCGCACUUACCACAACUUCCGUGACCGCGAGGUAAACCAACAAUGUUUCCCCUUCUUUUGGUUUUGAAAAAAAUGGAGGGCUUGAUAAAUACUUCUUUAAAUCCCUCAAAGCAUGAUGGCACUCUGGGGUCCAUUCGAAACUAUUUUUCUUUUUGAGUAGUGCAAAGAAAUGAUGACAUUUUUCUGACGGCCGGGAAAUGAAUCUGCUCAAAGCUGUCAAUCUCCCCGUAAGCCUUUGUACUUCCUUCACAUUUGAUAUUUGGUUCGGGAUAUCUUUUAUGGCCUUGAUCUUAUCGGGGUUUACCUCAACCCCCCUUUGGGAUACCAUAAAUCCCAGAAACUUAUUAGAACUGACCCCAAACGCGCAUUUCUCGAGAUUAAGUUUCAUAUUAUGCUUCCUUAGGAUGUCGAAAGUUUCUUGCAGAUGUUUAAGAUGAUCACCUACAUUUGAAGACUUACCAAGCAUAUCAUCUAUAAAAAUUUCCAUAGUUUUUCCUAUUUGAUUUUCUAUUAUCUUGUUCAUGAGUCGUUGAUAAGUGGCUUUGGCAAUUUUCAACCCGAAGGGCAUCACAUUAUAACAAUAUAUACCGAAAUUCAUUAUAAACGAAGUUUUUUCCCGAUCUUCCGGGUUCAUCUUAAUUUGGUUGUACUCGGAAUAAGCAUCGAGGAAACUCAUUAAGUCAUGCCCGACCGUAGCAUCAAUUAUUUGAUCGAUGUUUGGCAAUGGGAACGAGUCUUUCGGGCACGCCUUGGUAAGAUCUUUAUAAUCUACACACAUGCGAAACGUAUUAUUUUUCUUAGGAACUACUACUACAUUAGCUAACCAGUCUGGAUAUCUUACCUCUCGGAUCGAACCAAUAUUAAGUAAGCGGGUUACCUCCUCUUUGACGAAUUUAUUUCUGGCUUCAGCAUUCUUUUGUCUUACCGGAGGUAUGUUAGGAUUCAAGCUUAACUUGUGUACGACUACCUCUGUCGGGAUGCCUAUCAUAUCUUCAUGCGACCAUACAAAAUAAUCGACGUUAGAUUUAAGGAAUUUAAUGAGAUCGGAUCUGAAUUCUGGGUGCAGUCCUGUCCCCAAGUGGAAUUUCCUUUCUAGGAAUUCUUCGAACAAUGCCACUUGAUCCAUCUCUUCUGAUGUGGACUUCGUUACAUCGGUCUCUUCUGGAACUUGGAAAUAUCUCGGCACCUGAUAAUUUUUCGAUGCCUGGCUAACUUCAUCUAGUUCAGGAGUAGGUAUUGAUCCUUAUAAUUGCUAUGCCAUGUGUUCCUUUCCUUUGCUACUGGAGACCGAAAUUGCAUUCAUCUCCCUUGUCGCCGGUUGGUCACCCCUUAUCUGCUUAAUUCCCUCGGGCGUUGGAAACUUCAAUAAUUGAUGGUACGUUGAUGGUACAACUUUCAUCUUGUGCAACCAUGGCCUUCCUAGAAUGAUGUUGUAUCCCAUAUCACUAUCUACCACUUCAAAAAGAGUUGUUUUCAUUACUCCUUCAGCGUUCGUGAGUAAUAAAAUUUCUCCCCAAGUUGUCACACUUGCGAGGUUGAAUCCAGCGAGGAGCUUUGUGGCCGGAAUAAUGCUUCCGGUGAGUUUAGCUUGCUUCAAUACCGUCCAUUGUAUGAAAUUAUCCAAACUCCCUGGAUCCACUAGAACACGUUUAAUCUUAAAAUCUAGCACAUUUAAAGAAAUUACUAGUGUGUCGUUAUGUGGUAGCAACAAUACGUCUGUUUCCUCCUCCAUAAAAGUGAUAUCGUCUUCCCGAAGCCUUUUGCUAUGCAUUAUUGAUACUUUCAUCUUCUUUGCUGCUGAAAAGGUGGCCCCAUUAAUCUUGUUCCCUCCGAAGAUUAUGUUGAUUAUUUGACAGGGAUCUUCUCCUACUUUCGAGGGUUUCAUGUUGUCUCGGUUAUGACCAUAAUUGUUCUUAGCUCGGUCACUCAAGAAUUCUCUAAGGUGACCAUUCUUCAGUAAUGUUGCCACUUAUUUCUGAAGAUGUCGACAGUCCCCUAUCCGAUGGCCAUUCAUCCCGUGGUAUUCACACCACAAGUUAGGAUCCCUCUGGCUGGAAUCAGAUCUCAUCAGUUUUGGGAACCGUGCUUCUUUGAUGUUUCUCAUGGACGAUACCAACUCCACUAUAAUGACGUUGAAGUUGUAUUCUGAUAAUUUGGGGUAAGGAUAAUCUAGCUAUCCUAUCAUUUCUUUAUCCUACAGUAAUCGAUUGUUCCGACCAUGAUCAGUCCUCCUGUCAAUGGUGAACCUGUUCGCUACCUGAAAACCUCUGAUGCGGUAUUCGAUUCGUUCGUAGGGGAAAUAUCGACCCCUCGAAGUCUGCAUGUCCGCGUUAUAAUCAUCCUUUGAUUUUUCAUUAUUCUUUUCUCGUCCUUUGGUUGACGAUGAAAAACCAACGUGAACAUCUUCGACCCUUAUUUUUGAUUCAUAUCGGUUGUGGACAUCCUCCUAGGUCGUUGCUUAAAACUCAAGUAGGUUUUCCUUCAAUUUUCGGGAAGCGUUUGACCUCCUCGGAUUCAAUCCCUUAGUAAAUGCCUCAGUCACCCAUUCAUCUGGGACAGCCAGGAGCAACAUUCUCUCCUUCUAGAAUUGGUAACGAACUCUAGUAGCAGCUCGGACUCUCCUUGCGCAAUCCUGAAUAUGUCAUCCUUUCGGGCCUGUAAUUUUCUUGCCCCGGCAUAAGCCUUGAUGAAAGAAUCAACAAGCAUUUCAAAGGAAUCUAUGGAAUACUCAGGUAACAGCGAAUACCAUGUCAAGGCUCCCCUCUUGAGGGUUUCUCCAAAUUUCUUCAGCAGCACAGAUUCAAUUUCGUGAGGGGCUAAAUCAUUUCCCUUUAUCACCGUUGUGUUGGUGGUAAUAUGCACCUGAGGGUUUGAAGUUCUGUCAUACUUUGGCACUUCAGGCAUUUUAAAUCGCUUCAGGAUUAACUCUGAUGCCGCACUUGGCUUGUAUGACAAUUGAGUAUACAUUUUCAAGUCCGGACCUUUCAGCACUAGUGGCGCGCCCGAGAUCUGGUCCAUGCGGGCGUUCACUUCCCUCAUGAAUCAUAAAAGUUCAUUCUUGAACGGAUCAUUCUCAUUGUUGAGGCCAUAUCCAUUCCCCCUGCCCCAUCAGAGCCAAUUUCACCCCUGGAGUGUUGUUGUCGAUCCUCCGUGCCGUUUGAUUCGUGGGAACUCCGGGAGAAAUUGGAUCUCGUCUAUUUGCAUUAUGUGAAGCUCCAGACAAUGCUUGCUUCAACUCCGUCAUACUUUUAUCAUGUCACGUGAGGUGGCCCAGAAUGAUCUCAUGUUGCUCUUGCAAGACCCUUAUUUCGUCGACAACAUGUUCCUCAUCAGCGUCAUCGGAAGUGGUCCCCCGAACAUGUCGAGGAUACUGCCUGUCAUGCACUGGUGUAGCAUCAUUCCCCUCAUUAUGGGUGUCACUGAUUGAAUCCUCGGAAUGAGGCUGAUCCCCUUGAAUCUCGGGGUUGCGCAUGUCCUUAACAGUGUUAUCUGCCAUGCCUUAUGAUCUUUUUUAAGACAAAAACAAUCAAAACACGUUAUUAAAAAAGGCAAGGAUCGAUUUAAUUGCACGACUAUCUAGGCCCCAUGAUGGAAGCCAAACUAUUUACCUGUAAAAUGGUACAAUUGAAUUUAUACGUGGUUUCUAGAUAAGUGAAUUAAUAUGAUCUUGAAAUAAAUAAAUAAUUGAAGAAUUGCACAAUACUUAGCCUUAUGAUAUAGACGAAACAACAGAAGCAAUGAUUCCGGGAACAUGGUUUCCGGGCAUAACAACAAAGAAAAUCAAGAAAUAAGAAGAUAAGAUUGGAUUGAGCUUUGUAUAGAGUAUAGCAUAAGUUUGCCAGAAAAUUCGUGUCCUUUACAAUGACAACUGAGCUCACUAUUUAUAGCUAUGAAGAAGGUCCUAGGGUCGUGCCCUUUGUCACACCUUCUUUUUUCGAAGAAUAGGGAGUCUUUUCAAUUAAAGUGCUAUUAUUCGAAAUGAGAUUAUUUAUUUAAUUAGAGUCGCUAUUUGGAAUAAUUAUUAUGGUAUCCCAAGUCACCGGUUUAUUUUAAAAUCUCAAAUCGAGGAAAUUGACUAAGUUUAAAGUCCGCGAAAUACAGAAGACCGGGUAAAAAAUUUUAUUAAUCCGGGAGAAGGUGUGAGGCACUCCCAGAUUUUAUGGUUUUAGCAAGGUCGCUCUUAAUCAUACUUGGCUUAAUUAAUUGUUUAAUUACAUAUUUUAAAACCUAUGUGAGUUUUCACCUUUUGCCGCUUUUAAUUAUGAACUUAUCUUUGAAACAGAUCAUAUGUGCGUAAAUCCGUUUUAUUAAGUGCGCUAAAGUCAUGUCACGCGUACGUGUAUACAAUUAAUCAUGCUUUAUUAAUUAUUAAGAUUAUUUUUGGCCAACGUCACGCGAACGCGUACUUGGAUUUUAUUUUCGGGAAUCAUGGUUAUGCCACGCGAAUGUAUACAUAAUCACGAUAGUUGAUUAAUUAAGAACGUGCUUAAAGCAUACUAGCGAUUUGAAUGAUUUGUUUCUUCGCUAUAUUUGAGAUUGUUGUGAGGCUAUGAUUUAUGGAUAUGAAAUUGUGAAAGAAGUGAAGUUGUUCUAGCUAUUAGGAGUAUUGACAAGUUAUUCACAUUUAAAAAUAUUUCCAACUAUUCCACCUUUUGAGUUAAUUUCAUACCUAUUAAAAUAUGCUAGCUUACUAUUAUAGACCAUGACAGAAUUCUUUUGGCCCAAGAAUCUAAAAUCAUUCUUUUCGAAAAGUUAUUUCUUUUGUCAUCAAAAUUUUCUACAGCAUCUUCCUUUCAAGUUAUUAAACAAACAGAAGCAACUCGAUUAUUCGAAUAUCCCAUGUCCAACUCCAAGUAAAUAACUGUAAGCUCAUUUAGUAACUUAACUUAAUUUAAGAGACAAAUCGUAUUUAAAAAUCAAUAAUCUUUAAAGUAUGCUAACACACAUUAAGAUAUGGCGACAUUCAAGAUUUUUCAAACAGAAAAAGAAAGCACUUUUAUAAAAUAUUUAUUCACUAAUAGAAUAAUAUAAAAGUAAAAGUAAGUAAGGAAUUGGACCUUUUGUGAAGCCAAAAAUUGAUUUUCCAAUUGAUUGAAUAAAUAAAAUUCCUUGAACAAAGUUGUACAGCAGAAACAAGUGCCGGACAAGAACUUCGAGAUAAUGAAUCUAACAGACCGGACAAGGCGGCGACCAAAAUGAGCAACAAACAAGCUCAACCAACAGGAACCUUCAGCACGUCGACUUCGACGGGCUCGACCCCUUCACUGACCCGUAGAGAGGAUGUUGUGAGGGCGGAUAUUUUAUGGGAUUUCAUGAUAUUUUGGAUUGGUUUUCGAACUGGGGUUUCAUGGCUACAUUUUCAGCUGUUUUUGGGCUGAGGAGGGCACGUUUUGGACUGUUUUUGCUAUGGAUUUUCAGCUGAUUUUCGGUGGUGUUUUGACUGAUUUUGUUAUGAUUUAUCGAUGAAGAAAAAGGAUUAAAGUUUAUGGGAGAAAGCUGCUACAUUUUUGGGGUGCAAACAAAGGUGUUUUCCUAGAGUUUUAUAGGCUAUAAUGGAGGUUUUACAACUCGGUGAAGAAGAAGAAAUUGCCGCUGCUCUUUCUUUCCUUCGCUCUCUCUGUUUUUUCAGGUUCGGCUUUUUUAUAAGGUGAUUGCUUGGAGUGAAAUAAUAAAAAGGAUCUGGUGUAUUGUUGAGACUUGAGAGCAUAUUUUUCUAAAAUGUCAGGAGUGUCGCG